GUGGGGAAUAUUGGACAAUGGGGGGAACCCUGAUCCAGCCAUGCCGCGUGUGUGAAGAAGGCCUUUUGGUUGUAAAGCACUUUAAGCGAGGAGGAGGCUACCGAGAUUAAUACUCUUGGAUAGUGGACGUUACUCGCAGAAUAAGCACCGGCUAACUCUGUGCCAGCAGCCGCGGUAAUACAGAUGGUGCAAGCGUUAAUCGGAUUUACUGGGCGUAAAGCGCGCGUAGGUGGCCAAUUAAGUCAAAUGUGAAAUCCCCGAGCUUAACUUGGGAAUUGCAUUCGAUACUGGUUGGCUAGAGUAUGGGAGAGGAUGGUAGAAUUCCAGGUGUAGCGGUGAAAUGCGUAGAGAUCUGGAGGAAUACCGAUGGCGAAGGCAGCCAUCUGGCCUAAUACUGACACUGAGGUGCGAAAGCAUGGGGAGCAAACAGGAUUAGAUACCCUAGUAGUCC
rnacentral:rRNA from 1 species